rnacentral:rRNA from 1 species
GGGGAUAACAUCGCGAAAGCGAUGCUAAUACCGAAUGAUAUCUUGAAAACUCUGUUUUCUGGAUUAAAGAUGGCCUCUACAUGUAAGCUAUUGUUUGGGGAUGAGCCCGCGUACCAUUAGCUUGUUGGUAGGGUAAUGGCCUACCAAGGCAACGAUGGUUAGCUGGUCUGAGAGGAUGAUCAGCCACACUGGAACUGACACACGGUCCAGACUCCUACGGGAGGCAGCAGUGAGGAAUUUUGCGCAAUGGGGGAAACCCUGACGCAGCAACGCCGCGUGAGUGAUGAAGGCUUUCGGGUCGUAAAGCUCUGUCAAGUGGGAAGAAACCAUAUGGUAUUAAUACCGCCAUAUGUUGACGGUACCAUUGAAGGAAGCACCGGCUAACUCCGUGCCAGCAGCCGCGUUAAUACGGGGGGUGCGAGCGUUAUUCGGAUUUACUGGGCGUAAAGAGCGCGUAGGUGGUCUUUUAAGUCAGGUGUGAAAGCCCGGGGCUCAACCCCGGAAGUGCACUUGAAACUAAGAGACUUGAGUAUGGGAGAGGGAAGUGGAAUUCCUGGUGUAGCGGUGAAAUGCGUAGAUAUCAGGAGGAACAUCGGUGGCGAAGGCGACUUCCUGGACCAAUACUGACGCUGAGGCGCGAAGGCGUGGGGAGCAAACAGGAUUAGAUACCCUGGUAGUCCACGCAGUAAACGGUGAACACUAGGUGUAGCGGGUAUUGACCCCUGCUGUGCCGCAGCAAACGCAUUAAGUGUUCCGCCUGGGGAGUACGGCCGCAAGGUUAAAACUCAAAGGAAUUGACGGGGGCCCGCACAAGCGGUGGAGCAUGUGGUUUAAUUCGACGCAACGCGAAGAACCUUACCUAGGUUUGACAUCCCGGGAAUCCUCUGGAAAUAUUGGAGUGCCCUUCGGGGAGCCCGGUGACAGGUGCUGCACGGCUGUCGUCAGCUCGUGUCGUGAGAUGUUGGGUUAAGUCCCGCAACGAGCGCAACCCUUUCUUUAGUUACCAUCAUUUAGUUGGGGACUCUAAAGAUACUGCCCCGGUUAACGGGGAGGAAGGUGGGGAUGACGUCAAGUCCUCAUGGCCUUUAUGCCUAGGGCUACACACGUGCUACAAUGGACUGUACAAAGGGUUGCCAGCCUGCGAAGGUGAGCCAAUCCCAUAAAGCAGUUCGUAGUUCGGAUUGGAGUCUGCAACUCGACUCCAUGAAGCUGGAAUCGCUAGUAAUCGUGGAUCAGAACGCCACGGUGAAUACGUUCCCGGGCCUUGUACACACCGCCCGUCACACCAUGAGAGUUGGUUGUACCAGAAGUCGUUGGGCAAACCCUUCGGGGGUGCAGGCGCCUAAGGUAUGGCUGAUGAUUGGGGUGAAGUCGAAACAAGGUA